GGAUGCGGGCCUGCGGACAGGUUGCAUACUCCCACGGGGCGCCGUAAUACGCCUCGGUGAGCGAAGGUAGGCAAGACUGAUCGCCCGUGUGGGAGGGUGGGAGGCACUGUCGCAAUCGGCCGUAAACGAGGCUUUCAACUAACUGGUGCCGCGUGUAUCAGCAGCUUAUCGCUGCAUAAAAUCCAGCGGCCGCGCUCCUUUUUUUUCUGCAGUCUUUAGCACUGGAGUUGUUGUUCGCACGUCAGGCGGUCAGCAGUAGUCCGCGCAUGGCCACAGCUCACGGGAGUCAUAGCGCAGACAGGCGCCGUUAUGUCGCCUACGGGCGCUAGUCUCCCUUCUAGUGCCGCUCAACUGCUAAAAUCCAUACUCAUGGCCCUAGCAAUCAUCACUUGCGGGCAGGGCGUCCACGGCAAAGGCAUCAACUCAAUGAUAGGACCUUACAUUGCGUACGGGGAACGCUUUUACAUGUGUGAACCCGACAACCGGCCGCUUCCCUGGAAGUGGUAUUUGCGUGCUACCCACUUCAAUCCAUAUAAACCAAAAGAGUUGCAACGUAUAACAGGCAACGUAUCGGGCGCAACUGGACUUUUCGAUGACGGCAGCUGGUUAAAAGUAAUUGUAGAUGCUCGUUCAAAUAACCAAUGGAAGGAAAACGCCUAUGUCUUCAAUUUUAAGAAAAAUGGAUGUCGGGUUAUUAAAGAAAAUAUUCCCGGAUUUUACGAGCAGGUUCUGAAGAAAAGAGAAGUUAAAGGCGUGUGCGCAUUUAAACCUGGAGUUUACGAGGUCAACAAUGCACCAAUCGACUGGAGUUUUCCAAAUGUUCCUAUCCUACCUUAUGGGCAGUAUAGGUUCAGACUCAUGAUUGGCAGAGAUGAACACCUAAACGCAUGCUGGGCUGCAGAUGCUAGGGCUAUUCCGAAAUCCGACUAGCACUGAUUAUUUUAUCGCUGCUUUUAUUUACAAUACACAGCAGCUUUUAAUGAAUUUGUAUUUGAUUUAAUUCAAGUUAGAAUUUUUCGUCUACUUUUAUUCACAUUCCAAGAAUUUCGAUGACAUUUUAAGAAUUGAAUGGAACUUCGGUAAUUGCCUGCGUUGGCGGUACGUGUGGGAUGUCACGCCCGUUAGCACAUGCGACCGAAUUUCGGUAGUUUUUUUAAGCAUUGUUUGAAAUUUUGUUUAAAUAUUUCAAAGUGUGGUUGAAUUUUGUUUGCCCGAAAACCCAACCGUACUUGAAUGUAGUAAGCUUCCUCCUCCUCCUUCUAUCCGUCAUUUAUUGCACACCCUCUACAGGGUGGUCCGUCAGCGCCGUUCUUUCAUCUGGUCUGACUGUACCGGAUGCAGGCCUGCGGACGGGCAUAAAUUAGAAACAAUUAUAAGAAACCAAAAAUAUCCGUUUUCGAUCUCAAAACAAAGAGGCGUAACUGUCAAAAAUAUCCGUACGUCAUGUGAUUUGUGAGCGACUGACACAUGAAAUGAAAACGUUUUUCAUCAGUGUUUAGAUCUGCAGUUGGCGUUUGCACGUCAGCCGGUCAGCAGCGGGCGGUGCAUGUCCGAGGGACUCAAAGAGUAUGCAGGCGCUGCGCUGUGAUGUCCACCACGGUCGCCAGUCUCCUUUCUAGUGCCGCUCAACUGCUAGAAUCCGAGACAGCAUGGCGGUCAUACUCAUGGCCCUAGCAAUCAUCGCUUGCGGGCAGGGCGUCCACGGCAAAGCCAUCAACUCAAUGAUAGGCCCUUACACUGCGUACGGGGAACGCUUUUACAUGUGUGAACCCGACAACCGGCCGCUUCCCUGGAGGUGGCAUUUCCGUGCUACCCACUUCAACCCAUAUAAACCAAAAGAGUUGCAACGCCUAACAGGCAAUGUGACGACUACAAUAGGAACUUUCGAUGACAACUGCUGGAUGAAAGUAAUUGUAGAUGCUCGUUCAAAUAACCAAUGGAAGGAAAACGCCUAUAUCUUCAAUUUUAGAAAGAAUGCAUGUCGCGUUCUGAAAGAAAAUGCUCCAGGAUUUUACGAACAGGUUUUAAAGAAAAGAGAAGUUAAAGGCGUGUGCGCAUUUAACCCUGGAGUUUACGAGGCCGACAAUGCACCAAUCGACUGGAGUUUUCCAAAUGUUCCUAUCCUACCUUAUGGGCAGUAUAGGUUCAGAGUCAUGGUUGGCAGAGAUAAAACCCUAAACGCAUGCUGGGCUGCAGAUGCUAGGACUAUUCCGAAAUCCGACUAGCACUUAUUAUAUUAUUGCUGCUUUCAUUUCACAAUAUCCAGCAGCUUUUGAUGAUUUGUACCUGCUUUCAA